UGAUCUUUUAAAUUACUAAUGUAUACAUAUGUAGACACACACAUGCAUAUAUUAUACUAUAUUAUGAACUUUCAACUUUUUUGCUUAUCAGCAGUACUUAAGUCCAUUAGGCAAGUAGAUUGGCUUAAAAUGGACGCCUUAGUUCUUAGUGUUGGAAUUAAGAUUAUAAAUUUAACCUGCACCGCACCCCCUUCUCCACCC
rnacentral:lncRNA from 1 species